GUGAACGCUGGCGGCGUGCUUAACACAUGCAAGUCGAACGGUAACAGGAAGUAGCUUGCUACUUUGCUGACGAGUGGCGCACGGGUGAGUAAUAUAUAGCUAACCUGCCCUUUAGUGGGGGACAACAGUUGGAAACGACUGCUAAUACCCCAUACUCCUUCUUGUCUUAAGAUAAGUUGGGAAAGAUUUAUCGCUAAAGGAUGGGGCUUUAUUGUAUCAGCUAGUUGGUGGGGUAAUGGCCUACCAAGGCAAUGACGCAUACCUGGUCUGAGAGGAUGAUCAGGCACACUGGAACUGAGACACGGUCCAGACUCCUACGGGAGGCAGCAGUGGGGAAUAUUGCACAAUGGAGGAAACUCUGAUGCAGCAACGCCGCGUGGAGGAUGACGCAUUUCGGUGUGUAAACUCCUUUUAUAGGGGAAGAUAAUGACGGUACCCUAUGAAUAAGCACCGGCUAACUCCGU
rnacentral:rRNA from 1 species